rnacentral:rRNA from 1 species
GUACACGCUGUGACUAGCAUAUCAAUAAGCGGAGGAAAAGAAACUAACAAGGAUUCCCCUAGUAACGGCGAGUGAAGCGGGAAGAGCUCAAAUUUGAAAUCUUAAAGGGUUUCCCUUUACGAAUUGUAGUUUAAAGAAGUGUUUUCUGUUGAGGUUUUGGUAAAAGUUCUUUGGAAUAGGACAUCAUAGAGGGUGAGAAUCCCGUAUUUGACCUUUACUUUCAACUUUGUGAUACACUUUCAAAGAGUCGGAUUGUUUGGGAAUGCAGUCCAAAAUGGGUGGUAAAUUUCAUCUAAAGCUAAAUAUUGGCGAGAGACCGAUAGCGAACAAGUACCGUGAGGGAAAGAUGAAAAGAACUUUGAAAAGGAGAGUUAAACAGUACGUGAAAUUGUCAAAAGGGAAGCGUUUGACACCAGUGUUGUUUUUCUGAAAAUCAAUUAAAGAACUGUUUAUGCUAAGUUGUUUAGACUUUAUCAGCUAUCUGUUUAGUUUUGAGCUUUUCUUUAAUGCACUUUUCAGUUAACAAGUCAACAUCAAUUUCUUUUGCUGUAAAAAAGCUUGAGGAAGGUGGCUUGAGAUUCGUCUUAAGUGUUUAUAGCCUCUUGCCUAUGCAGUCGGAGAGAUUGAGGUCUGCAGCGUAGAUCCUUCGGGGCUAAAUGCAUUUGUGCUAAGUUAUAGCAUUUUAUAGACAACUUGUUGACUAUGAUUUGUCUUGUAGCUUACUCGCUUAUGUUAUUUUACCUACGCUUAGGAUGUUGACUGAUAUGUAGUCGU